GAUGAACGCUGGCGGCGUGCCUAAUACAUGCAAGUCGAGCGGACGGACGAGGAGCUUGCUUUUCUGAUGUUAGCGGCGGACGGGUGAGUAACACGUGGAUAACCUACCUAUAAGACUGGGAUAACUUCGGGAAACCGGAGCUAAUACCGGAUAAUAUUUUGAACCGCAUGGUUCAAAAGUGAAAGACGGUCUUGCUGUCACUUAUAGAUGGAUCCGGGCUGGAUUGGCUAGUUGGUAAGGUAACGGCUUAUCAAGGCAAGGAUGCAUAGCCGACCUGAGAGGGUGAUCGGCGACACUGGAAGUGAGACAGGGUCCAGAGUCCUACGGGAGGCAGCAGUAGGGAAUCUGCCGCAGUGGGCGAAAGCCUGACGGAGCAACGCGGAGUGAGUGAUGAAGGUCUUGGGAUCGUAAAACUCUGUUAUUAGGGAAGAACAGAUGUGUAAGUAACUGUGCACAUCUUGACGGUACCUAAUCAGAAAGCCACGGCUAACUACGUG
rnacentral:rRNA from 1 species